rnacentral:rRNA from 1 species
GGGAGAGAUGAAUGAAUUUUGAAGGGGUUGUAGGUGGCCUUUCUUCAGGCAUGUGCGCGGCCCGCUUCAUCCAUCUCUCACCUGUGCAUCUUUGUAGGUUGGUCUUCAAUUGGCUUCUCCGGAGGUUGAUUUGGACCUUCCUAUGUUUUAUCACACUUAGCCUGUCAGUAUCAGAAUGUCAUUGCGUAUAACGCAUUUUAUAUACAACUUUCAGCAACGGAUCUCUUGGCUCUCGCAUCGAUGAAGAACGCAGCGAAAUGCGAUAAGUAAUGUGAAUUGCAGAAUUCAGUGAAUCAUCGAAUCUUUGAACGCACCUUGCGCUCCUUGGUAUUCCGAGGAGCAUGCCUGUUUGAGUGUCAUGGAAUUCUCAACUCGUCUUGCUUUUUAUUUGUGAGAUGGUGUUGGAUUUGGAGGUUUAUUGCUGUUGUCAUUUAUUUGAUGAUGGCUCCUCUCAAUUGCAUUAGCUGGAACCUUUGUGGAUCGGCUCUUCAGUGUGAUAAUUGUCUACGCUGUGGAGUUGUGAGACGGUUUGCGUCUUUCUGACGUGAGGUUCUGCUUCUAGUUGUCCUUUUACCGGGACAAUUUCUUUGACCUUCUGACCUCAAAUCAGGUAGGAUUACCCGCUGAACUUAAGCAUAUCAAUAAAGCGGAGGAAAUGGGGGGCGGGG